UGGCAUUUGGAUCAAUGUUUAAAAAAUCGUCGACCCAAUCCAGAAUCGGGCGAUUCGGAUCGGGAAUCGUUCAGGCCAUCCCGGAUACACUAAUAAAACAGGAUCCUGCAUUUUUCUACAGUGAAUCAUCAUGAUGAUGUUAUGAUUCGGAAAUGAAUCGCUAUUAUGACAACAUGGUUCGGACACCUCACAUGUCCGUACUGUUCUGAUGCCAUCUCUAAAAGAGUUUUUUAUACAAAUGGACCCCG
rnacentral:lncRNA from 1 species